ACUAUUCUAUUAAACAUAUAGAAGACACCUUCCAGGUACACUAUUCUAUUAAACAUAUAGGAGACACCUUCCAGGUACACUAUUCUAUUAAACACAUAGAAGACACCUUCCAGGUACACUAUUCUAUUAAACAUAUAGAAGACACCUUCCAGGUACACUAUUCUAUUAAACAUAUAG